rnacentral:rRNA from 1 species
CCUACGGGAGGCAGCAGUGGGGAAUAUUGGGCAAUGGGCGCAAGCCUGACCCAGCAACGCCGCGUGAAGGAAGAAGGCUUUCGGGUUGUAAACUUCUUUUGUCAGGGACGAAGCAAGUGACGGUACCUGAAGAAUAAGCCACGGCUAACUCCGUGCCAGCAGCCGCGGUAAUACGUAGGUGGCAAGCGUUAACCGGAUUUACUGGGUGUAAAGGGCGCGUAGGCGGGACGUCAAGUCAGAUGUGAAAACCACGAGCUCAACCUGUGACCUGCAUUUGAAACUGUAGUGCUUGAGUACUGGAGAGGCGGAGAGAAUUCCAGGUGUAGCGGUGAAAUGCGUAGAGAUUAGGAGGAACACCAGUGGCGAAGGCGGUCUGCUGGACAGCAACUGACGCUGAGGUGCGAAAGCGUGGGGAGCAAACAGGAUUAGAUACCCCGGUAGUC